rnacentral:rRNA from 1 species
GCUGGCGGCGUGGAUUAGGCAUGCAAGUCGAACGAGAUCUUUUUGGAACAAUUCUUCGGAAAAGGACCAUAAAGUGACAGUGGCGAACGGGUGAGUAACGCGUGGGCAAGCUACCCUGAAGUUGGGGAUAGCUCCGGGAAACCGGGGUUAAUACCGAAUGUGAUCGUCCCUCGCAUGGGGGAUUAUUUAAAGGUGGGGAUCUUCGGACCUGCCGCUUCUGGAUGUGCCCGCGUCCCAUCAGCUUGUUGGUAAGGUAACGGCUUACCAAGGCAGAGACGGGUAGCUGGUCUGAGAGGAUGGUCAGCCACACUGGGACUGAGACACUGCCCAGACUCCUACGGGAGGCUGCAGUCGAGAAUCAUUCGCAAUGCACGAAAGUGUGACGAUGCGACGCCGCGUGGAGGAUGACGGCCUUCGGGUUGUAAACUCCUGUCAUGAGGGAAGAAUCCCCGGAUAGUUAAUACCUUUCCGGGUUGACGGUACCUCAAGAGGAAGCCACGGCUAACUCUGUGCCAGCAGCCGCGGUAAUACAGAGGUGGCGAGCGUUGUUCGGAUUUACUGGGCGUAAAGGGUGCGUA